GAUGAACGCUAGCUACAGGCUUAACACAUGCAAGUCGAGGGACCGGCGCACGGGAGAGUCACACGUAGCCAACCUGACCUUUACGCGGGGAUAGCCUUUCGAAAGCAAGAUUACUACCCGAUAUAAGGGAUCGGGCUGCGUUCCAUGAGGGUGUUGGUGAGGUAACGGCGCACCAAGCCUUCGCUGGAUAGGGGUUCGGAGAGGAAGGUCCCCCACAUCGGAACAGGUGUACGAUCCAAAAGCGUACGGGAGGCAGCGGUGAGGGUGAUUGGUCAAUGUGCGCUAGCCUGAACCAGCCAAGUAGCGUGCAGGAUGAAGGCUUGUGGGUCGUAAACUUCUUUUAUAUAAGAAUAUGUAUUAUAUGAAUAAGGAUCGGCUAACUCCGUGCCAGCCGCCGCGGUAAUAC
rnacentral:rRNA from 1 species